GCCCCGCUGUCUUCAGAAGACAGUUAAUUCUUACAGAUGAUCCUGUCUCUCCUCUCUCCUCGUACAGGCGAGCAGAAAAAAUGCGACUCCGAGGGCACCACUGUUGUUUACGGUGAAACGCGCCGUACUUUAUUUGGGAACACAUCUCCCUAAACUACAAAAAGGAUUAAAGCGUUACAAGGAGAGCUAGUCGAAGUGGACAGACGGAACCAGACCAGGAUCGAGAGACAACCUUCCUGAAGUCCACUCGAUGUCCUGUCUCUUGUGACUGCACUUUGAUGUGGCCCACGUGACACUCCGGAUAGCAGCGAGCUCUUCCACAUUGAAAACCUUUAUUGCACAAGUUUGGAAGAGUCCUUGUGCCAAAUAUUCGCGCCUUCAGCAUGUCUACACUUCGCGCAUUUAGUGGUACUACUCGUUUCAACAUGCUGGGAUUCCUGGUGUCCGUUUUGCUGAUCUUUCAUGGUAUGUUUUGCGUCCAAUAUAAACUCAACCUGAGCAGCUCACAACAGAUUCACUUUAACCAAAUCGGGGCAAUUGCUCUGUCGCUAGCUUAGCCACUUUUAAGAGUUUAACACCGUUUUAAACUCAAGAAGUCACGUGACGUCUUAAG
ensembl:lncRNA